UACGAUGAAGAGUUUGAUCCUGGCUCAGGAUGAACGCUAGCGGCAGGCCUAAGACAUGCAAGUCGAGGGGUAGGAAGAGCUUGCUUUUCUGAGACCGGCGCACGGGUGAGUAACGCGUAUGCAAUCUACCUUAUACAGGGGAAUAGCCCAGAGAAAUUUGGAUUAAUGCCCCAUGGUUUAUUGAAAUGGCAUCAUUUUAAUAAUAAAGAUUUAUCGGUAUAAGAUGAGCAUGCGUAUCAUUAGCUAGUUGGUGUGGUAACGGCAUACCAAGGCGACGAUGAUUAGGGGUCCUGAGAGGGAGAUCCCCCACACUGGUACUGAGACACGGACCAGACUCCUACGGGAGGCAGCAGUGAGGAAUAUUGGUCAAUGGAGGCAACUCUGAACCAGCCAUGCCGCGUGCAGGAUGACGGUCCUAUGGAUUGUAAACUGCUUUUGUACAGGAAGAAACAUUACUACGUGUAGUAACUUGACGGUACUGUAAGAAUAAGGAUCGGCUAACUCCGUGCCAGCAGCCGCGGUAAUACGGAGGAUCCGAGCGUUAUCCGGAAUUAUUGGGUUUAAAGGGUUCGUAGGCGGUUAGAUAAGUCAGUGGUGAAAUUUCCUAGCUUAACUAGGGCACUGCCAUUGAUACUGUUUAACUUGAA
rnacentral:rRNA from 1 species